rnacentral:rRNA from 1 species
UUGUGCCUACGGGGGGCAGCAGUGGGGAAUAUUGCACAAUGGGGGAAACCCUGAUGCAGCAACGCCGCGUGGGUGAAGGAGCGUUUCGGCGCGUAAAGCCCUGUCAGCGGGGAAGAAUAAUGACGGUACCUGACUAAGAAGCCCCGGCUAACUACGUGCCAGCAGCCGCGGUAAUACGUAGGGGGCAAGCGUUAUCCGGAUUUACUGGGUGUAAAGGGAGCGUAGACGGCUGUGCAAGUCUGAAGUGAAAUGCCGGGGCCCAACCCCGGAACUGCUUUGGAAACUGUACAGCUAGAGUGCAGGAG